CUCCGUUGUCCUUAAAAAAAUCCCUUCCAUAAUAUCCAAAACUUCAUCGUUGAUUUGAAAAAAAAAUGAUUUUAGAUUUUCGAUUAUCAAUUGAAAUGAACCUACUAGAGCCUCAACUUUCAAGCGCACAAUCAUUACACAUCACUUUAACCCUGAGUUGACAUUCCACAAUCGGUCAGUAACAUCACCUGUGUUUAUAGUUACAGGGUAUUUCCCGCCGUUGGACAAUCCCGUGCAGUCGACACAAUUGAUUUUUAACAUUCUCUAUUAUGAGCGAGGUCAAGUUUUAGAUCAAGUUAAUUACAUAUAUUUUUAACGUUAAUUAUUUAAUUAUUAAAAAAAAACGUAUCAUCAUUUCUUUUCUUUUUUUUUUUUUUGCUAGUAUAGUAAAUAAAUCUCAAUCCCGGGAUGUAGAUACACUUAACAUUAGACCUGGAAGUGCCUUCUUAUAAAUGGAGAAACUGUCUUUCACAUUAAAAUUUAAAAGAAUAUUAUCGCUCAGGCAUAUUUUAAAUUUUGUAAUAAGAUGAUUGAUUGUUGGUUGUUUAACUUCCAGUGGCAAAUAUUCCAUAAAUGUCAGGACGAACUUAGUUUUAAGAUCGAACUCUCAAAAGAUAAUUGAAAAACAGUAAUGAUGACAGAAGAACUUUGAUACGUGUGAAAU
rnacentral:lncRNA from 1 species